UACGGGGGGGGCAAGCGUUGUUCGGAAUUACUGGGCGUAAAGCGCGCGUAGGCGGCUUUUCAAGUCGAUUGUGAAAUCCCCGGGCUUAACCUGGGAACUGCAGUCGAGACUGUCUAGCUAGAGUAUGGGAGAGGGAAGUGGAAUUUCAGGUGUAGCGGUGAAAUGCGUAGAUAUCUGAAGGAACAUCAGUGGCGAAAGCGACUUCCUGGACCAAUACUGACGCUCAUGUGCGAAAGCCAGGGGAGCAAACGGG
rnacentral:rRNA from 1 species